CUUAGAAGCAGCCAUCAUUUAAAGAAAGCGUAAUAGCUCACUGGUCGAGUCGGCCUGCGCGGAAGAUGUAACGGGGCUAAACCAUGCACCGAAGCUGCGGCAGCGACACUAUGUGUUGUUGGGUAGGGGAGCGUUCUGUAAGCCUGCGAAGGUGUGCUGUGAGGCAUGCUGGAGGUAUCAGAAGUGCGAAUGCUGACAUAAGUAACGAUAAAGCGGGUGAAAAGCCCGCUCGCCGGAAGACCAAGGGUUCCUGUCCAACGUUAAUCGGGGCAGGGUGAGUCGACCCCUAAGGCGAGGCCGAAAGGCGUAGU
rnacentral:rRNA from 1 species